AACAGGAUUGCAUAAUCUAAUGGUAAAUGUAUGUUUAAUUUUGUAAGAAAUUAUCAAAAUAUUUCCGAGAAUAGCUGUACCAUUUUGCAUUCUCAUUAGCAAU
rnacentral:pre_miRNA from 1 species